AAGGGUGUAGUUCAGAGGUAGAACACGUGCUUAGUAGCAAGCAUGAGGUCCUGGGUUCAAUCCCCAGCGCCUCCA
rnacentral:tRNA from 1 species